CUCCAGUACUGUGUACAAUACUCCAAAUGAGGUCUCACCAGUGUUCUGUACAAUGGCAUGAGCACUUCCCUCUUUCUACUGCUAAUACCUCUCCCUAUACAACCAAGCAUUCUGCUAGCAUUUCCUGCUGCUCUAUUACAUUGUCUGCCUACCUUUAAGUCAUCAGAAAUAAUCACCCCUAAAUCCCUUUCCUCAGAUGUUGAGGUUAGGACUCUAUCAAAU